rnacentral:sRNA from 2 species
AUAUCUCUUCGUACGGGAAGGAUGAGAAGCUUCGACUAAGGUUCGAUUCGAGCGCAGCGAGAAAGCGUUGCCGCAGGCAACGACCCGAAGGGCGAAGCGCGCAGCGCUGAGUCAUCCUUCCCCCACCACCA